rnacentral:rRNA from 1 species
UAUUGACAGAACUCUUCGGAGGGAAGAUGAUAAGUCUUAGUGGCGGACGGGUGAGUAAUGCAUGAGCAACUUGCCUUUCAGAGGGGGAUAACACAUCGAAAGGUGUGCUAAUACCGCAUGAAAUGACGGGAUCGCAUGAUCCUGUUAUCAAAGGAGCAAUCCGCUGAAAGAUGGGCUCAUGUCUGAUUAGAUAGUUGGUGAGGUAACGGCUCACCAAGUCGACGAUCAGUAGCCGGACUGAGAGGUUGAACGGCCACAUUGGAACUGAGAGACGGUCCAGACUCCUACGGGAGGCAGCAGUGGGGAAUAUUGGGCAAUGGGCGCAAGCCUGACCCAGCAACGCCGCGUGAAGGAAGAAGGUCUUCGGAUUGUAAACUUUUGUCUUAUGGGACGAUAAUGACGGUACCAUAGGAGGAAGUCACGACUAACUACGUGCCAGCAGUCGCGGUAAUACGUAGGUGGCAAGCGUUAUCCGGAAUUAUUGGGUGUAAAGGGUGCGUAGGCGGGAUGUAAAGUCAGAUGUGAAAUGCCGCAGCUUAACUGCGGAGCUGCAUUUGAAACUUAUGUUCUUGAGUGAAGUAGAGGCAAGCGGAAUUCCUAGUGUAGCGGUGGAAUGCGUAGAUAUUAGGAGGAACACCGGUGGCGAAGGCGGCUUGCUGGGCUUUUACUGACGCUGAGGCACGAAAGUGUGGGGAGCAAACAGGAUUAGAUACCCUGGUAGUCCACACCGUAAACGAUGAUUACUAGGUGUAGGUCGGCUGAACCGAUCUGUG